rnacentral:rRNA from 1 species
UUCCUAGAGAUUAUAUUUUAGGUAACCUGCCAGUGAAUAUUUAACGGCCGCGGUAAUUUGACCGUGCUAAGGUAGCAUAAUCAUUUGUCUUUUAAUUGAAGACUGGAAUGAAAGGUGUAACAAGAAAUUUGCUGUCUUGAAAAAAUAAAUUGAAUCUUAUUUUUUAGUGAAAAAGCUAAAAUAAUUUUGUGGGACGAUAAGACCCUAUAGAUCUUUAUUAUUUUAAAAUUAUUAAUUUUUUAAUGUAAUUUUAUUGGGGCGAUAAUAAGAAAAGAGUAUCUCUUAGAAUUUUAAUAUACGAAUAGGUAAAUAGAGUAAUGAUCCUACACGAUAGAUUAUAAGAAUAAGUUACCUUAGGGAUAACAGCGUAAUAUUUUUUUAGAGUUCCUAUCGAAAAAAAUGUUUGCGACCUCGAUGUUGGAUUAAGAUGUUAUUGUGGUGCAGAAUUUACAAAUAUUAGUCUGUUCGACUAUUAAAAUCUUACA